rnacentral:rRNA from 1 species
AUUGAACGCUGGCGGCAGGCCUAACACAUGCAAGUCGAACGGUAACAGGAAGAAGCUUGCUUCUUUGCUGACGAGUGGCGGACGGGUGAGUAAUGUCUGGGAAACUGCCUGAUGGAGGGGGAUAACUACUGGAAACGGUAGCUAAUACCGCAUAACGUCGCAAGACCAAAAAGGGGGACCUUCGGGCCUCUUGCCAUCGGAUGUGCCCAGAUGGGAUUAGCUAGUAGGUGGGGUAACGUCUCACCUAGGCGACGAUCCCUAGCUGGUCUGAGAGGAUGACCAGCCACACUGGAACUGAGACACGGUCCAGACUCCUACGGGAAGCAGCAGUGGGGAACAUUGCACAAUGGGCGCAAGCCUGAUGCAGCCAUGCCGCGUGUAUGAAGAAGGCCUUCGGGUUGUAAAGUACUUUCAGCGGGGAGGAAGGGAGUAAAGUUAAUACCUUUGCUCAUUGACGUUACCCGCAGAAGAAGCACCGGCUAACUCCGUG